rnacentral:sRNA from 1 species
UUUCGUAGUCAGAGGCUAAUUGAUGCAGA